rnacentral:tRNA from 1 species
AGAGAAAGACGACUUCUAAGACGACGCACUCGAGUGUUUUGUUCGCUUAGCUGUCAUUAUUUUUUAUAUACAACCUAAAGAAGUAGAGUCUCGUAGCUCAGCUGGUUAGAGCGCUACACUGAUAAUGUAGAGGUCGGCAGUUCGAGUCUGCCCGAGACUACAAAAUGUAGGUGAGGAAAAGACGAGAACGUGACUGUCUUGUGACAGUGUUUAUGCGCCGCAGGCGUAAGUCUGCCCGAGACUACAAAAUGUAGGUGAGGAAAAGACGAGAACGUGACUGUCUUAUGAUAGUGUUUAUGCGCCGUAGGUGCAAGUCUUUACUGAGACUACAAAUUUAAGUAGAUGCAUUUUUUUAGGUAACAGGAAAUUUUAGAGGUUGAGGAUUUAUAAUCACCUUAUUGUAGUUAUAGAUUCAGAUCUUUAAUUUCAACGGGGGAUUAGCUCAGUUGGCUAGAGCGCUUGAUUUGCAUUCAAGAGGUCAUCGGUUCGACUCCGAUAUUCUCCACGACGUAUUAUAAUAUAAAUAAUACGAAACGUUCAUUGACAUAUUGAAGAUACAAACGUAUCAAAUCAUGAUUAAUUUUAGGAUUAAUCACUGGUUUAUACGAGCAAACAAUAGUAAAAAAUAUAGAGUAAUAAUUAAAUAAGAAUUGUACAAGUUAC